UGUGUCCAGGAAACGAUGCAGAGGCUCCUCUAUUCGAAGGACCUCGGGGAGCCCCUUAGCUUCCUUGCUAGCUGCUGCAGCCACUUCAGUGCUCUACAAUAGGAGAGGUGGAGGUAGCCCUGGAGGGUGGAGAUGGGGACAGGGUUAAUGUUUAGUCCGGCGACCCCACGCAAGGUGCCCGGAGAGUAACUGGCCUCGAGGAAAGAGCCAGAGAGCAGAGAUGCCAGAGAGGACAGGGACCCAGGAGGCAGCCGGCCAGACUUGAGGGCUUGCAGCGCGGAGCUGCCUUCCAGCAGCAAUCUGCUAACUAGUGAGGAGUGACUGAGUCUUCCAGUCAUCUGCAUCCUUGGAUCCCCUGCCCUUCCUGGCACCUCCCGACUUCUCGCUCGCCAGUGGCCUGGGGCCGCGGGCGCGGGGCUGGGCGUGCGCGUGGGGCUGCGCGCGCGCGCGCGGGUGUGUGUGUGUGUGUGUGUGUGUGCGCGUGUGUGCGCAGCCCUCGCGCCGAGCCCGGCCGCCGGGACCCCGCCGCCCGCCGCUUGCCUGGUGUCCCUCCUCCUUCAGCCGCCACCUCGCAGCCUCCUCACCUGGCGCCCGCCGCCCGCCAAGCCCGGCUGCCUCCCCUCAAAGUUUCCUCCGCGGAGACCUUCGCCAAGGGCUGCCCAGGGAGAUGCGUUUCUGAAGCUGUGCCUCGGAGUGGCUCUCCUUACAGCACCUCUCCUCCUUGGUCCCCCCAGCCCCCCACCUCAUCCGAGCAGAGAGUAAAAGAUUUUCCAAAUUAAGAGGCGAAAAGGAGGAGGGGGUACUGUCAAGAGAAAGAGAGAGGAGCGGCCACAACUGAGAAUAUCCGCUUCUUUCCUGCCUGAUGCCGGGGAAUUGAUGACGGGCCUGUGGGGUUAAAGAAGAAAAUUAAAUAGAAAGCCAAGUUGACCGAGGGGGCUUCGGAUGCCGGGAAGGUUGUCCCGGUCUCUGUAUCCACCGGCGUGAAGAUUUGGAGGCGCCCCCAGGGCGAGGGCUACUAAGCCGCCAUCCCCUCCUGAUCUCUUUGGAAGGAAAAGCCGGCAGAGCUGAGGCUGGGGGAGUCAAGGAAAAGCUUCUGGACUUGCGUGCGUUGCAUCCUUGGCUUUGGAUUUUAAGGACAUGAAAGAGAAUUAACAGCGUCUCAAGGUAAGAGUCAGCAAAUUGCUGACUGACCACUGCCUGCAUUGCCAGAAAGAAGAAUAACUUAAAAUAGCGAUGUCGGGGAUGGGGUGGGAGGUUAAGCCAAGUUAGGAUGAUCUCUCCGGGCGUCGCCACGCGGUUGCACAACCUGCGCGAAAGGCUCCGGGCGGGCUGGUCGGGGAGUAGCCAGUGCCGCCGGUGCCCAGGUGGGAGGCAGCAAGCCGAAGGGAGUGUCCUGCCUUUACACUUUUUGGAACCUACUGGAAAUAAGUAUCGAGCUGGGUCGUGUGUCCAGGCUGAUUUACAGCGUGGAUUUGUGUGUGUGUUUCCGGAGAGGUCUUUUGGUUUUUUUCCAUCAGCACCGCAGACCCACCCCGUCGUUGCCCUAGAGCGCUGUGGGCACCGGCGAACGCCGCUCGGACGCGGCGGCAGGGAAUCUGUUGGAGAUGGUUUCAAGGUGUAGAACCCUUAUGCGUGAAGUAUCCCAAAUGAAGUUGGAGCAUCCACAUUGAGUUUGCUUCAUACUGUGGAAUUGAAGAGUGCCACUGGAAAGCUGCAUCAUGAGCCACUUGAGCUUCUAAAGUGUCCAGUGGAUUUUUAAUCAUAUGAGCCUUGAUAUAGGCUUUUGAGAAGAGGCUCAGAGCAGAACACUGACGGUGACCACCACCAGCAUGAGGACUCCAAAAAGUCAAAUCGGUUCAUUUCAAGCAACUGGCUUGUGGGACUCUGAGAGAUGCUGCUACCCAUGACAUGUUGGAAUUAUCAUGAUCAGCUACCCAGUUUGGAUUUCACCCAGUGGCCAAGAGCUUUGCAUGGUAGACAGCAAGGGUUGGAUUUUUAAAAAGAGUAAACCAGGUAAGAUUUUAAAGAGACACCUGAUCAUUUAUCACUUGGUCUACGGGCAUUAGUGUGCUGCCAAGAUGUAUUGAAUAAUGUAUAGCUUUUCUAUUUGUUUUCAAAGUUCACUGAACAGGUUGUUGAAGAAUUGUGCUCCCUUGGAUUCAGGAGACCGUGUAUAGUAAUAAUUGAGUCCUUUUUUCUCUCAAGAGGAAAGAGGAGUUAUUUUAAGAUACACAUGAAGAAGACACAAGAAUACUGUGGAUGCUGGUUUAAUGCAGUAGCCAUUGCAAGCUAAGGAGAUUUGCUCCUUAAGUAACUACUCUGAACUAUAAUAGAAUAGACAGUUGUACUUUUGAAGGCACAGUAGGCAAAGUGUUGCCUUUAAGCAUUUAUAUUUUAUGCAAUAUAGAACUGGAUCAGUUCAUAGCAUAUGCUUUUACAAAUACUGUGUGUUUCAAGGUUACUCCAAUUUAGAAAAUUAUACUAUUAUUCUGCCUUUUAUUUCUUUGAAAGUAUUUAUCAUUCUAAAUUGUGCUCAUCUAAGUGUUAUUUAAAAUGGUGAUAUAAUGACAUACUCUAUUAUCAUUGUGGCUCCUAGAAUUUAAAAUAUUAUACUCUUACUCAAUUACUUUUUUUCCCUACUUUUGUCUGUUGUAUUCGGGAAACAAUUCUCAACUAUUACCCACAGUUUGGGUGGAUCUUCUUAUCUUUCUCUUUAACUUGCUUUCUCCUCUCUGACAUAAUUUAAAUUUGUUAUCAACAAUUACUUGGGGAAAUCACAAGAUAUUCUUCUUCUCUGACUUUAAGAUUAUCAAAGCUUUUACAAUGUCUUCACAUUUUAUACAUCCCAAAACAAGAUUUUCUUUAAGUUCAACUAUAAACACAGAAAGUAGGAGUAAAAUUUAUUAAUUAAGAAAACAAUGGAGGGGAAUUAAUUUAAGUCACUUGUCACUCUAAGUUUUUUACAAAUCUGGCUUUUUUUACUUUCUGAAAAUAAAGUAAAUGGAACUCAGUCAAUAAAUUAUAUCUUAAGAUAAUGAUUUGGAUAUAAAAAUGAGAACUUCUAAAAAGCUUGAAAAUAACUGAUUCUCUAAAGUUUAAUAAAUUUCCCUUCUCAAUCCUCUAAUGGCUUAUUCGUCUAUAAGAUAAUAUCAUGAGGGGCCGGCCCGGUGGCGCAGCGGUUAAGUUUGCACGUUCUGCUUUCGCGGCCCAGGGUUUGCU